GAGUCAGUGUAAAGAGAAGGCUAAGGAUAACUCGGCUCUGGAGAGUAGAGAAUAUGCCUUCUCUUCUGCCCCUCCAGGAACCUUACUUUUUUUUUUUUAAACAAAAAACAAAAACAAAAAACAAAAACCAAAAACCAAAAACCAACCACCACCUUUUAUUUAAAAGUCUAACCUUGGGAAUUUGCUGGGGAGAAGGAACUCAGUGAAUAUUGCCCUGGGUCCUGGUAAUUCCACCUACUGAAGACAACUGCCCCUUCUGCUCAUAUUUCCUGAGUCAACAUGGCCGUUCCUAACUUUGAAGAGACUUUAGACAUUCUUUGUUACAAUGAACCUAGAAGAAAGAAGAGAAAUAUUACAGCGACUGUGCCCGGGACUGUAAGGCGGAUAAGACCCAGCAGGAAACCUGAAAGAACAGAGGUCCACUGUCAGCAUUUGCACAGGAGGAAGUAUUUCGAAGCCCCCAUCACCUCGUCUGGCCUUAUAGACCUGCUGAUGAGGAAGGCCUUCUGCUCCCCUCCCCCAACCCUCUCCUCUUUCCAUCUCUUGCCUAAAGGCUGCUCCGUUUGGGGGACUGUGCCCAAGGUGCUGCAUGGUCGACCGACCGACCCCAGAGAAAGGCAGGCAUCAUCAUCUCAGCUGCUCCCUCUGCUCUAAGGACCGGGGACUAGGAACAUUCUGGCAAGAGAAGGGAGGGGGGGCCAAGCUUGGAGUCACACAUGGCUGCAUUUCGUAUGGCAAGGCUUUCUUGUUUGUGCUUUCUUCCUAUGGAAAAAAAAAAGGCUCUGGAAGGGGCCUGGGGAGCCAGAUCAAAUGUUCAAAUGUACUGGCAGGGAGCCAAGGCUCAACUUCUCUGCCAGGAACUCCACGUUCUCAAGUCUUCACUGCUGUUGAAACUGAUCGGGAAGGUUAAUGAGAUUAAUAUGGCCAAACACUGUGGGCUUCUGGGAAGCAAACAGCCAGGGAAAUUUGACCAACAUCUAGGAUGGUCUGUAGGAAUGGGAUAGUGUGACAAUUCUACAUAUCUUACAAAGAUCAAAUCAACACAAUUCAUAUUUCUGUCGGCUUGAGCAAUGACUAUUCUAUGUUUUGGAGACUCUGAUCCUUUCUCUUCUAGCUCCUGGUACAGCCUAUAAUAAGCUGUAGUGAACUUCAGUCACCCUUCUGUGCUGAAGGGCAUGGGCACCCAGUCUUCCCAGCUAGCCGAGUUUCAAGACUUGGGAAAGGAGUUGCUUGCUCCAAGUGCUAAGUGCCUGUGAACAUUGACUAACUUCCCAUGCCCAAGAACUUCUCAUCCGUUUGGCCCCAACUAAAGACACAACGUAUGUAGCUACCAAAUGACAACUUUCCAGGUCAUCUGCCACCAGAGCCUGCCUCCCUCAGACCCAUACAUGGCACUCACACCUGGUGCAAGUGAGCUUGCUUGUCCUCUCAUCAUCUUGGCACCAUGUCUUCCCCUCUGGUCAUCUUAGUAAAGCCCCAAAGAACGGGCAAUAAUGUGAGAGCUGAAGGCUCGUCAGUGCCACUAUCUGUCUUAUUAUGAAUAAAAAAAUUUAAACCCAA
rnacentral:lncRNA from 1 species